rnacentral:rRNA from 1 species
ACGAACGCUGGCGGCAGGCCUAACACAUGCAAGUCGAACGCUCUAGCAAUAGAGAGUGGCAGACGGGUGAGUAACGCGUGGGAACCUUCCCAAUGGUACGGAAUAGCUCAGGGAAACUUGAGGUAAUACCGUAUAAGCCCCUAGGGGGAAAGAUUUAUCGCCAUUGGAUGGGCCCGCGUCGGAUUAGCUAGUUGGUAGGGUAAUGGCCCUACCCAAGGCAACGAUCCGUAGCUG